ACGGGUGGGUAACGCGUGGGAAUCUACCGUACCCUACGGAAUAGCUCUGGGAAACUGGAAGUAAUACCGUAUACGCCCUAACGGGGAAAGAUUUAUCGGGGUAUGAUGAGCCCGCGUUGGAUUAGCUAGUUGGUGGGGUAAAGGCCUACCAAGGCGACGAUCCAUAGCUGGUCUGAGAGGAUGAUCAGCCACAUUGGGACUGAGACACGGCCCAAACUCCUACGGGAGGCAGCAGUGGGGAAUAUUGGACAAUGGGGGCAACCCUGAUCCAGCCAUGCCGCGUGUGUGAUGAAGGUCUUAGGAUUGUAAAGCUCUUUCAACGGUGAAGAUAAUGACGGUAACCGUAGAAGAAGCCCCGGCUAACUUCGUGCCAGCAGCCGCGGUAAUACGAAGGGGGCUAGCGUUGUUCGGAAUUACUGGGCGUAAAGCGCACGUAGGCGGGUAUUUAAGUCAGGGGUGAAAUCCCGCAGCUCAACUGCGGAACUGCCUUUGAUACUGGGUAUCUUGAGUAUGGAAGAGGUAAGUGGAAUUGCGAGUGUAGAGGUGAAAUUCGUAGA
rnacentral:rRNA from 1 species